GGAGACCUCGAGCGUUACUCGGAUUUACUGGGCGUAAAGGGUGAGCAGGCGGCCAAGUGUGUCAGGUGUGAAAUCCCGGGGCUUAACCCCGGAACUGCGCCUGAAACUACUUGGCUAGAGUCUCGGAGAGGAGAGUGGAAUUCUAGGUGUAGCGGUGAAAUGCGUAGAUAUCUAGAGGAACACCAGUGGCGAAGGCGACUGUCUGGACGAGUACUGACGCUCAAUCACGAAAGCGUGGGUAGCGAAAGGGAUUAGAAACCCUGG
rnacentral:rRNA from 1 species